rnacentral:rRNA from 1 species
GAAUCAUCGAAUCUUUGAACGCACAUUGCGCCCCUCGGUAUCCCGGGGGGCAUGCCUGUUCGAGCGUCAUUUCUACCACUCAAGUUUAACUUGGUAUUGGGCAUCGUUAUGAAAAUUUUAACGUGCUUUAAAUGUAGACGGCAACAAUUCCCCAGCUUAGAGCGUAGCAGUAAAACAUUUUCGCUUUAAAAGCUGCUGGGUCUUGUUUACCGCAUAGUUUUUACUACAGUUUGACCUCGGAUCAGGCAGGGAUACCCGCUGAACUUAAGCAUAUCAAUAAGCGGAGGAAAAGAAACCAACAGGGAUUGCCUUAGUAACGGCGAGUGAAGCGGCAAUAGCUCAAAUUUGAAAUCUGGCGUCUUUGGACGUCCGAGUUGUAAUUUGUAGAGGAUGUUUCGGUAUUAGCUCCGGUCUAAGUCCCUUGGAACAGGGUGUCGCAGAGGGUGAGAAUCCCGUACGCGACCGGCUGCUUUUGCCAUGUGAAACUCCUU